UAUUGGUCAAUGGGCGGGAGCCUGAACCAGCCAAGCCGCGUGAGGGAAUAAGGCCCUAUGGGUCGUAAACCUCUCUUGUCGUGGAACAAAAGAGGGGACGCGUCCCCGUUUGCGUGUACCCGAAGAAAAAGCAUCGGCUAACUCCGUGCCAGCCGCCGCGGUAAUCCGGAGGAUGCGAGCGUUAUCCGGAUUUAUUGGGUUUAAAGGGUGCGUAGGCGGUAUGGUAAGUCAGCGGUAAAAGCCCGGGGCUCAACCCCGGCGAGCCGUUGAGACUGCCGUGCUAGAGAGGAAGAGAAGUAGGCGGAAUGCGCAGUGUAGCGGUGAAAUGCUUAGAUAUUGCGCAGAACUCCGAUUGCGAAGGCAGCCUACCGGCCUCUGUCUGACGCUGAGGCACGAAAGCGUGGGUAUCG
rnacentral:rRNA from 1 species